AUUGAACGCUGGCGGCAGGCCUAACACAUGCAAGUCGAACGAGUGGCGGACGGGUGAGUAAUGUCUGGGAAACUGCCUGAUGGAGGGGGAUAACUACUGGAAACGGUAGCUAAUACCGCAUACCAUCAGAUGUUCCCAGAUGGGAUUAGCUCGUUGGUGGGGUAACGGCUCACCAAGGCGACGAUCCCUAGCUGGUCUGAGAGGAUGACCAGCCACACUGGAACUGAGACACGGUCCAGACUCCUACGGGAGGCAGCAGUGGGGAAGAUUGAAAAAGGGGCGCAGGCCUGAGGAAGACAUGCCGCGUGUAUGAAGAAGGCCUUCGGGUUGUAAAGUACUUUCAGCGGGGAGGCGUUACCCGCAGAAGAAGCACCGGCUAACUCCGUGCCAGCAGCCGCGGUAAUAC
rnacentral:rRNA from 1 species